GUCCUGGAGUCUGUCGAGAAAGUCCGCUGGAUUUAAUUAUAUUGCUAGGCGGCGCAAAAGCAAACAAAGAUGAUUGCGCUCCUAAACGCAAAUGAUGCGAGGCGAGCCCAAAGUGGGGACCGUCUGUCCCUAUUUUUGCCUCACGAGUUGCUGAAGACGUGGCCAGUGGGAUGGCAGAUGUAUGCUUCCUGGAAAUAUGCAUGAGAAGGGAAGACACUCCUUACAGCAAGGAGACAUUCCUUGCUAUGUCCUGGCCACGGUACACCUUUACUCCGUCUCAUUCACGAAGUGCGAGCGCAAGGUGAGCGAUGCGUUUCAUAUAUACAAAUACUGGGCUAGAGCGACAGCGGACGAAUGCUACGAAUGCAAGAUGCUGAGGAUUUUGGAAAGGGAGUUAGAAGACUCUGAAACCGCUGGAAUGGAGGCUGUUGACACUUCUGCGUCGCCAGGGCGCCGGUAGGCUCCAGUGCUCAGUGCUCGCGCAUAUAUUCAUUAUACGGGUUUGGAGUUUUUGUUGGUCACUCCAGUUGUCCAUGCUGCUCAAUAUCAGUGGGUGCUCGAUUCCUGUCAGAACUAUCUAGUUGCAGCUUUCUUUCGAAGUUUUUCUCAGGUUAGCUGGAGUCCACUGCGAGCGACUACAGAUAUCGGGGGAUGAGUAGAUUACGGGACAGCGCCGCCCUCUACAUGCUUUAGAGCUUUAAAUGCGUAAGAUCCAGGGGCCGCUUUAGGAAGUGCUGUGGGCUAUAUGAAGUCCAAGAGGGCAAUCUUCGCUAUGCGUGGCUGGUGAUAAAUGAUGGUUGUCGCGGCUAUUUUCGGUGAUCAAUAGUCGCUUACCCAAGAGCAUGAAAGACGCUGGUUCUUUUUGACAUCAGGACAGUGCUCAUAGAAAUCAAAGUCUGCUAAGAAACGUGUACUUGCUUUUCAACUUCGGGAACGCGAUGGCGCUGCAGUGGAUUCCCGAUUCAAGGGAAGUUUCGCAGGUUUUUGAACACUUCACGUUUUGCUGUAAUGAGUAGGAAGACGUGGGAUUUGUAGCGAAACACAGCCGUGAGCCUAUGGGGAACGGUUUCGGUGGCAGUAGCAAAUAUUACAAUGGAUUUGGAACCCUGCCUUGGGGAACGACUCCAUGUAGGCAGCAAGUUGAGGUGAGU
rfam:Eimeria mitis, Houghton, WGS project CBTT01000000 data, contig: Emh_contig405_3